UACAGAGGGUGCAAGCGUUAAUCGGAAUUACUGGGCGUAAAGCGAGCGUAGUCGGUUAUUUAAGUCGGGUGUGAAAGCCCCGGGCUCAACCUGGGAAUUGCAUUCGAGACUGAAUAGCUAGGGUACGGUAGAGGGAAGUGGAAUUUCCGGUGUAGCGGUGAAAUGCGCAGAUAUCGGGAGGAACACCAGUGGCGAAGGCGGCACUCUGGGCCAGUACUGACGCUGAGGAGCGAAAGCGUGGGAGCGAACAGG
rnacentral:rRNA from 1 species